rnacentral:rRNA from 1 species
CACGUAGGGUGCGAGCGUUGUCCGGAAUUAUUGGGCGUAAAGAGCUCGUAGGCGGUUUGUCGCGUCUGCCGUGGAAGUCCGGGGCUCAACUCCGGAUCUGCGGUGGGUACGGGCAGACUAGAGUGAUGUAGGGGAGACUGGAAUUCCUGGUGUAGCGGUGAAAUGCGCAGAUAUCAGGAGGAACACCGGUGGCGAAGGCGGAUCUCUGGGCCAUUACUGACGCUGAGGAGCGAAAGCGUGGGGAGCGAACAGG